CCUACGGGAGGCUGCAGUGAGGAAUAUUGGUCAAUGGACUAGAGUCUGAACCAGCCAAGUAGCGUGAAGGAUGACUGCCCUAUGGGUUGUAAACUUCUUUUAUAUGGGAAUAAAACGUUCCACGUGUGGGAUUUUGUAUGUACCAUAUGAAUAAGGAUCGGCUAACUCCGUGCCAGCAGCCGCGGUAAUACGGAGGAUCCGAGCGUUAUCCGGAUUUAUUGGGUUUAAAGGGAGCGUAGGUGGAUUGUUAAGUCAGUUGUGAAAGUUUGCGGCUCAACCGUAAAAUUGCAGUUGAAACUGGCAGUCUUGAGUACAGUAGAGGUGGGCGGAAUUCGUGGUGUAGCGGUGAAAUGCUUAGAUAUCACGAAGAACUCCGAUUGCGAAGGCAGUUCACUGGACUGCAACUGACACUGAGGCUCGAAAGUGUGGGUAUCAAACAGGAUUAGAUACCCUUGUAGUC
rnacentral:rRNA from 1 species